AUUGAACGCUGGCGGCAUGCUUUACACAUGCAAGUCGAACGAGUGGCGGACGGGUGAGUAAUGCCUGGGAAUCUGGCCUAUGGCGGGGGAUAACGACGGGAAACUGUCGCUAAUACCGCGUACCAUAGGAUGAGCCCAUGUGGGAUUAGCUAGUUGGUGGGGUAACGGCCUACCAACCGACGAUCUCUAGCUGGUCUGAGAGGAUGACCAGCCACACCGGGACAGAGACAAGGCCCGGACUCCUACGGGAGGCAGCAGUGGGGAAUGUUGCGCAAUGGGGGCAACCCUGAAGCAGCCAUACCGCGUGGAUGAUGAAGGCCUUCGGGUUGUAAAGUACUUUCGGUAGCGAGGCGUUAAUCGCAGAAGAAGCACCGGCUACUCCGUGCCAGCAGCCGCGGUAAUUC
rnacentral:rRNA from 1 species